UACGGAGGGGGCUAGCGUUGUUCGGAAUUACUGGGCGUAAAGCGCACGUAGGCGGCUUUGUAAGUUAGAGGUGAAAGCCCGGAGCUCAACUCCGGAAUAGCCUUUAAGACUGCAUCGCUAGAACGUUGGAGAGGUAAGUGGAAUUCCGAGUGUAGAGGUGAAAUUCGUAGAUAUUCGGAAGAACACCAGUGGCGAAGGCGACUUACUGGACAACUGUUGACGCUGAGGUACGAAAGCGUGGGGAGCGAACAGG
rnacentral:rRNA from 1 species